UACAGAGGGUGCAAGCGUUAAUCGGAUUUACUGGGCGUAAAGGGCGCGUAGGUGGUUGUUUAAGUGAGAUGUGAAAGCCCCGGGCUUAACCUGGGAACUGCAUCUUAUACUGGGCAGCUGGAGUGAAGUAGAGGGUGAUGGAAUUCCGGGUGUAGCGGUGGAAUGCGUAGAGAUCCGGAAGAACACCGGUGGCGAAGGCGGCCUGCUGGGCAGUUGCUGACACUGGAGGCGCGACAGCGUGGGGAGCAAACAGG
rnacentral:rRNA from 1 species